CCUACGGGAGGCAGCAGUGGGGAAUCUUGGACAAUGGGCGCAAGCCUGAUCCAGCCAYGCCGCGUGAGUGAAGAAGKCCCUAGGGUUGUAAAGMUCUUUUGCCAGGGACGAUAAUGACGGUACCUGGAGAAUAAGCCCCGGCUAACUUCGUGCCAGCAGCCGCGGUAAU
rnacentral:rRNA from 1 species